rnacentral:tRNA from 2 species
GAGCCCGUAGCUCAGCCGGUAGAGCACGUGACUUUUAAUCAUGGGGUCUUGGGUUCGAAUCCCAACGGGCUCACCA